rnacentral:lncRNA from 1 species
GGCGGGAAAACAGGAUGUCUUCCAUUUGGAAGCCCCUUUGCUUCUAAGAAGUUCCAGAGACCAUCCCAGGCCCACAGAGUUAUAAGGAUUCAUCUGGGCACUGAAGACAUUUGGGACCUCAGUGAAGUUUCUCCGAGGCCAGAUGGUCACAUUGAUUUUCUGGAAUCAUUUUGAAUAAAAAUGAGCGAGGUGGUGAACACAAUGCAAGGCUCUCCACGUACUGUCUGGUAUUGUUCAACCAGCUCCACGACUCCCUGAGGGCAGAGAUGAGCAGAUGUUAAUGGAUAAAGCCAGGUGGGAUGAUGUUAUAACAUUUCUCCUACAGCCCCAAAUCUCCCAACUCCUGCAUGUGUGACCUGAGUAAGACUCGGUGCAAGAAGACAUCAGUGUUCCCAUCUGUGAAAUGAAGGAAUUGACCCCCGAGGAUCUUCCAUUUCUGACAGUGCUUUGGAUUUCAUUGGUUUUGUCACAGGUACCCCCCAAAAGCCUCCAUCUUUGGAUAAGUGAUUAAAACUGCUGAGUAAUUUUCAAUUAAUAAAAGUUCAGUGCUGGCUCUCA